GCAUCCGUAGCUCAAUCUGGAUAGAGCAACGCACUCCUAACGCGUAGGUUGUCGGUUCGACUCCGGCCGGAUGCG
rnacentral:tRNA from 1 species